AAAUGUCACAGUAAACAAGCGCUCACGAGAGCCAAAAGCAAAGGUCUUAAAAAGAGGGCAGUGAAUCGCUCGUUUUGCUGCUGAGUCAACCAGAGGCGUUUUUAAGUGACACCACUUAAAAACCAUCCAAGGAACACUUUGCCAUUUCACUGCGAACAUGAAGAUUGCUCUGGCCAUCUGGCUGUCUUGGGAAGCGCAAGCAUGCAAUUUGAAUCAGUGGGGGUUUCUGACGGCUGCAACCUACAACAGUAGUGGUGAGCAGGGCAGAGGAUCCCUACAGAGUGUAAACAAUGUAAGCCGUCUGCCGUCGUUCCACAUGGUAGUCCUGGAUUUCUCUCUACCUUCAUUCAGCUCACUUCAGCAGAGUGGCAUGAUAUCCCCGGGGUCCCACCGAGCUGUGGCUAUAUAUAGAGCACUCCUAAAUCACAACCUGUAGAUACAGUAGAUAUGCACACUCACGCUCGGCAGACAUUCAAUAUGAAAUCGUGACCUUAGAUAACUAUCAACAUCUCAUGGAACGCAAGGUUUCAGUGACUCCUCAGUUUCCAGUUGUAGAAACUAUGGCAACCCGAGUGGACAAAUGCGGAAGUGGAGAUGCAAACAGGCAGGGGUAGGCGAGAGCGCCAACAGACAGAUGGUCCAGAAGACAUUACGGGCCACAGCCGAUCCUGUGUGUCUGCAUAUGUUUGGAGCGUUCCAGAAGAGACUGUCUCUUUGCACUACACCUGCCGAUCUGGACAGAAAGUCUUACCAUCUGGAUGUGAUGGUGGCAGAGCUAAAUAAAGGAAAGACGGCGUAAAUUAUGCAACGCUGGCAGAGUAAUAUAAACUUUAAAAAUGUUAGUCUCAGCUAAAAAUGCUGAAUUGCUUUCAGCGAUGUUUAUGUGUAUGUAGCAAAAUGAAUGUCUGUGAUUACGAAACUGGAGAUAUAACACUAAUGGUUUUCUUAUAUACUCUAUAUAACUAAUAAAUCUCUGUGACUAAAUUUCUGAAUGUCCUGUGAGUGAUUCAUGGGUUAUUCAGAUUAUUACAUUACAUUAUAUUUUUACUUCCAAAGUG